rnacentral:rRNA from 1 species
UGAGGAAUAUUGGUCAAUGGGCGAGAGCCUGAACCAGCCACGUCGCGUGAAGGAAGACUGACCUUACGGUUUGUAAACUUCUUUUGUAGAGGGGUAAUGGCAGAUACGUGUAUUUGCGUGAAAGUACUCUACGAAUAAGCAUCGGCUAACUCCGUGCCAGCAGCCGCGGUAAUACGGGGGAUGCGAGCGUUAUCCGGAUUUACUGGGCGUAAAGGGUGCGUAGGUGGUCUUUCAAGUCGGUGGUUAAAGGCUACGGCUCAACCGUAGUUAGCCUCCGAAACUGGAAGACUUGAGUGCAGGAGAGGAAAGUGGAAUUCCCAGUGUAGCGGUGAAAUGCGUAGAUAUUGGGAGGAACACCAGUAGCGAAGGCGGCUUUCUGGACUGCAACUGACACUGAGGCACGAAAGCGUGGGUAGCAAACAGG